rnacentral:rRNA from 1 species
CACGUAGGGCGCGAGCGUUGUCCGGAAUUAUUGGGCGUAAAGAGCUCGUAGGCGGCCUGUUGCGUCCGCUGUGAAAGCCCGGGGCUUAACCCCGGGUCGGCAGUGGAUACGGGCAGGCUAGAGGUAGGUAGGGGAGAAUGGAAUUCCCGGUGUAGCGGUGAAAUGCGCAGAUAUCGGGAGGACACCGGUGGCGAAGGCGGUUCUCUGGGCCUUACCUGACGCUGAGGAGCGAAAGCGUGGGGAGCGAACAGG